CCAUAGCCCCGAUUGUAGUGAAAAUCCCACAGCUGGCUGGUGCAACCGCCGCGAGGAAUUGCAACAGAAAGCGGGAUACUGC
rfam:Dokdonia sp. 4H-3-7-5 chromosome, complete genome.